rnacentral:rRNA from 1 species
ACGAACGCUGGCGGCGUGCUUAACACAUGCAAGUCGAACGGAAAGGCCCUGCUUUUGUGGGGUGCUCGAGUGGCGAACGGGUGAUUAACACGUGAGUAACCUGCCCUUGACUUUGGGAUAACUUCAGGAAACUGGGGCUAAUACCGGAUAGGAGCUCCUGCUGCAUGGUGGGGGUUGGAAAGUUUCGGCGGUUGGGGAUGGACUCGCGGCUUAUCAGCUUGUUGGUGGGGUAGUGGCUUACCAAGGCUUUGACGGGUAGCCGGCCUGAGAGGGUGACCGGCCACAUUGGGACUGAGAUACGGCCCAGACUCCUACGGGAGGCAGCAGUGGGGAAUAUUGCACAAUGGGCGGAAGCCUGAUGCAGCAACGCCGCGUGCGGGAUGACGGCCUUCGGGUUGUAAACCGCUUUCGCCUGUGACGAAGCGUGAGUGACGGUAAUGGGUAAAGAGGCACCGGCUAACUACGUG